rnacentral:rRNA from 1 species
UACGAAGGGGGCUAGCGUUGUUCGGAAUUACUGGGCGUAAAGCGCACGUAGGCGGGUCGUUAAGUCAGGGGUGAAAUCCCGGAGCUCAACUCCGGAACUGCCUGUGAUACUGGCGAUCUUGAGAUCGGAAGAGGUGAGUGGAAUUCCCAGUGUAGAGGUGAAAUUCGUAGAUAUUGGGAAGAACACCAGUGGCGAAGGCGGCUCACUGGUCCGAUACUGACGCUGAGGUGCGAAAGCGUGGGGAGCAAACAGG